rnacentral:rRNA from 1 species
UCGGUAAUGAUCCCCGUAGGUGAACCUGCGGAGGGAUCAUUACCGAGUUUACAACUCCCAAACCCCUGUGAACAUACCUAUAACUUGCCUCGGCGGACUCAACGACGGUGCUCCGAGAAAUCGGGCGCCGCUCGCUGCCAGAGGAACCCCAAACUCUAUGUAUUUCUGUGGAUCUUCUGAGUAAAACAAAACAAAUAAAUCAAAACUUUCAACAACGGAUCUCUUGGUUCUGGCAUCGAUGAAGAACGCAGCGAAAUGCGAUAAGUAAUGUGAAUUGCAGAAUUCAGUGAAUCAUCGAAUCUUUGAACGCACAUUGCGCCCGCCAGUAUUCUGGCGGGCAUGCCUGUUCGAGCGUCAUUUCAACCCUCAAGCCCCCCGGGCUUGGUGUUGGGGAUCGGCGAUAGUCGCCGUCCCCCAAAUCUAGUGGCGGUCUCGCUGUAGCCUCCAUUGCGUAGUAGCUAACACCUCGCAACUGGAACGCGGCGCGGCCAAGCCGUUAAACCCCCAACUUCUGAAUGUUGACCUCGGAUCAGGUAGGAAUACCCGCUGAACUUA